UUGUUUGUGCCAUUCUUUGGCUUAUUCUCCUCUCUCUGUUUUUUAAUUCAUGUUUUAGAUUCCUUGGUCUUCUCUUUUGUAGUUGAUAACGGAUGCAGGUUUUUGCUAUGCUUUUAGUCUACUAAUUUUCUUUCUUUAUUGUAUUUCAGGCUGAAUAUUUCCGUCAUUUGCUUAAACCUGUAACGUAGAUUUACUUUUCCCCUUUCGUUUUCAAGCUAAGCUGGAUUGUUUUAUUAUUUUCGUUAUUACUGAACGAAGAAGCAAGUGAACAGCCACUUCUACUACUGCAGAAAUCCUUUUUUCUGGUAUGUUUUGCUGUGUCUGAUUGCAUUAACGCAGUUGUGAACUCUCCCAAGAUUUCUUACAACGUGUAAAAUCGUUUUUAAUUUGACAGGUGAUUGUUUUGGUUGAAUGGGAGAAGAUUGGGGACCUUUGUUUCCUCAACAGCAAUUUAAUUGGCAAUCACCCAAUGCGAAUUACUUGGGUGCCUCAUUUUCCUCUGGGCAGCAAAAUAAUCCUCCUUUGCU
rnacentral:lncRNA from 1 species